rnacentral:rRNA from 1 species
CCCCUACGGGAGGCAGCAGUAGGGAAUAUUCCACAAUGAGCGAAAGCUUGAUGGAGCGACACAGCGUGCACGAUGAAGGCCCUCGGGUUGUAAAGUGCUGUUGCAAGGGAAGAACAGUUAGUUGAGGAAAUGCUUCUAAUCUGACGGUACCUUGUUAGAAAGCGAUGGCUAACUAUGUGCCAGCAGCCGCGGUAAUGGGG